rnacentral:rRNA from 1 species
AAUAUUGGACAAUGGGGGGAACCCUGAUCCAGCCAUGCCUCGUGUGUGAAGAAGGUCUUCGGAUUGUAAAGCACUUGAAGUUGGGAGGAAGGGCAGUAAGUUAAUACCUUGCUGUUUUGACGUUACCGACAGAAUAAGCACCGGCUAACUCAGUGCCAGCAUCCGCGGUAAUACGAAGGGUGCAAGCGUUAAUCGGAAUUACUGGGCGUAAAGCGCGCGUAGGUGGUUCGUUAAGUUAGAAGUGAAAGCCCCGGGCUUAACCUGGGAAUUGCUUUCAAAACUGACGAGCUGGAGUACGGUAGAGGGUAGUGGAAUUUCCUGUGUAGCGGUGAAAUGCGUAGAUAUAGGAAGGAACAUCAGUGGCGAAGGCGACUACCUGGACUGAUACUGACACUGAGGUGCGAAAGCGCGGGGAGCGAACAGG